AUGCCGGGGAUGCGCGGCUCUGCUCCGGCGCUUGCACUGGCGCUGCUCGUCGGAGUCUUCAUCGCCCAGGUCCCUCCAGGUGUGCAGUCCAUUGGCGUGUGCUACGGCAUCAUCGGAAACAACCUCCCGCCGCCGAGCGACGUGGUGCAGUUCUAUAGAUUCUUGGGGAUCACCAACUUGCGUGUCUACUCCGUCCAGCUCCAGGCGCUCGACGCGCUCCGCGGCUCCGGCAUCAGCCUCAGCCUCGGCACCACCAACAACGACGUGGCCGUCCUCGCCAGCAGCCUGUCCGCCGCCGCCGCAUGGGUGCAGGCCAACGUCAAGCCCUACUACCGCGCCGCCGUGGACGUGCGCUACAUCUCCGUCGGCAACGAGCUUGCCAGCGACACCGCGCAGAGCAUCCUGGCGGCGAUGCGGAACCUCAACGACGCCCUUGCGGCCGAGGGCCUCGGCGGCGCCGGCGCCGGCAUCAAGGUGUCCACGGCGGUGAGGCUGGACGUGAUCGCCAACUCCUUCCCGCCCUCCGCCGCUGUGUUUGCGCAGCCCUACAUGGGCGACGUGGCCCGGCUCCUGGCCGCCACCGGCGCGCCGCUGCUGGCCAACGUGUACCCCUACAUUGCCUACCGCAACAGCCCGCGGGACAUCCAGCUCAACUACGCGACGUUCCAGCCGGGCGCGACACCGGUGAGGGACGCCGGAAAUGGGCUGAUGUACACCAACCUCUUCGACGCCAUGGUGGACGCCCUGUACGCGGCGCUCGAGAAGGCAGGGGCGCCAGGCGUGAGGGUGGUGGUGUCGGAGACCGGGUGGCCGUCGGCCGGCGGGUUCGCGGCGACGCAGGAGAACGCGCGGGCGUACAACCAGGGCUUGAUCGACCAUGUGGCGCGCGGCACACCCAAGAGGCCUGGGCCCAUUGAGGCCUACUUGUUCGCCAUGUUCAACGAGAACAUGAAGCCCGGGGAUGAGACGGAGAGGAACUUUGGGCUCUUCUACCCCAACAAAUUGCCCGUGUACCCCAUAAAAUUCGCAUAA
rnacentral:rRNA from 1 species